AUUGAACGCUGGCGGCAGGCCUAACACAUGCAAGUCGAACGAGUGGCGGACGGGUGAGUAAUGUCUGGGAAAAUGCCCGAUGGAGGGGGAUAACUACUGGUAACGGUAGCUAAUACCGCAUACCAUCUGAUGUUCCCAGGUGGGAUUAGCUUGUAGGUUAGGUAACGGCUCACCUAGGCGACGAUCCCUAGCGGGUCUGAGAGGAUGACCAGGCACACUGGAACUGAGACACGGCCCAGACUCCUACGGGAGGCAGCAGGGGGGAAUAUUGAACAAUGGGCGCAAGCCUGAUGCAGCCAUGCCGCGUGUAUGAAGAAGGCCUUCGGGUUGUAAAGUACUUUCAGCGGGGAGGCGUUACCCGAAGAAGAAGCACCGGCUAACUCCGUGCCAGCAGCCGCGGUAAUUC
rnacentral:rRNA from 1 species